AUACGGAGGGGGCUAGCGUUGUUCGGAAUUACUGGGCGUAAAGGGCGUGUAGGCGGUGCGAUUAGUCAGGCGUGAAAGCCCUGGGCUCAACCCAGGAACUGCGCUUGAUACUGUCGAACUUGAGUUCGGGAGAGGGUAGUGGAAUUCCCAGUGUAGAGGUGAAAUUCGUAGAUAUUGGGAAGAACACCAGUGGCGAAGGCGGCUACCUGGACCGAUACUGACGCUGAGGCGCGAAAGCGUGGGGAGCAAACAGGAUUAGAUACCCCAGUAGUCC
rnacentral:rRNA from 1 species